GCCAGACCCCAAGGAUGCUGUGGGGAAAAGGCAGCUUGGAAAACACUCCCCGUUCCUCGCUGUGUCUGCACACAGGGGACGGGCUAGCAGCCUUCUUAACUGGGCAGGGUGUUUUCAUCAUAUGCCAUUGAUUAGCCUUUUGUGUGUGUUACACUUCAUCAAGGGUAAGAUGAAGGACCCUUUCUGCUGAGCGAGUAUGAAACAGACGUGGCUCUAGCUGGAAAGAGCACGGGCUGCCCCGGGGAGCACAAAACAGCCAAAAUGAAGCCUGCUCCAACUGCUCAAUCCACGUCUGGAUCUGCCCCCUGGGCUGAGGACAAGGACGGGCCUCAGUGCCCAGGCCUGUGCUGACCCAGCUCCGGCGGCAGUGGUGCAGGAACAGGAAACCAUUUUUCUCCUCUUCAAGGUUUUGGUGUAAUUUGAGAAUCAUACCCCAUGCAGAUCGGAACAUGUUAGUAAUGUCUGGAAAGUAAUUGUGGCGUAUAUUAUUAUUUUAAUAUUUACUAAGUGCUGACAGUACAAUGCCUUUAUUAAAACUUUGGGGAGGGUGAAAUACACACCACAAAGCAUGGCGGGAUGGAGGCAGUCUUCUGAAAUUGCUCAUUUAUAUUUCAAUUUUACAGUCACUUUCCUGUGACCUACUUUUAAUCAUACAUUGUUUUCUUUGCGGCUUAAAUCAUGUAAGGUGGUUAAUGAUUUUAAUUUAAAGUUCUCUAAGGAAGAAUGUAAAUAAUACUUCUGCCUAGUGGAGGCAGGCUGUGAACUUCUUAUGGAGAAGCAAUUUAUCACUGUAUUGAAGAGCAAUGGAAGAGGUUUAACUUCGCCAGAAGCUGGACGUCUUUCUUUUCACUUAUUCUGAUCAUGUAAGAGCAAUAUGCCAAGGGUUAUCAGGAGAGCUCUAUGUUUAAAAUUAAAUUGAUGAGACUAGAUUA